UCGGAAUUACUGGGCGUAAAGCGUGCGCAGGCGGUUUUGUAAGACAGUGGUGAAAUCCCCCGGGCUCAACCUGGGAACUGCCAUUGUGACUGCAAGGCUGGAGUGCGGCAGAGGGGGAUGGAAUUCCGCGUGUAGCAGUGAAAUGCGUAGAUAUGCGGAGGAACACCGAUGGCGAAGGCAAUCCCCUGGGCCUGCACUGACGCUCAUGCACGAAAGCGUGGGGAGCAAACAGGAUUAGAUACCCUGGUAGUCCACGCCCUAAACGAUGUCAACUGGUUGUUGGGAAUUUAUUUUCUCAGUAACGAAGCUAACGCGUGAAGUUGACCGCCUGGGGAGUACGGCCGCAAGGUUAAAACUCAAAGGAAUUGACGGGGACCCGCACAAGCGGUGGAUGAUGUUCUUUAAUUCGAUGCAACGCGAAAAACCUUACCCACCUUUGACACGUAUGGAAUCCUUUAGAGAUGAAGGAGUGCUCGAAAGAGAGCCAUAACACAGGUGCUGCAUGGCU
rnacentral:rRNA from 1 species